UUGAACGCUGGCGGCAUGCCUUACACCUGCAAGUCGAACGGUAACGGGCCUUCGGGUGCCGCCGAGUGGCGAACGGGUGAGUAAUACAUCGGAACGUGCCCGAUCGUGGGGGAUAACGAGGCGAAAGCUUUGCUAAUACCGCAUACGAUCUACGGAUGAAAGCAGGGGACCGCAAGGCCUUGCGCGGACGGAGCGGCCGAUGGCAGAUUAGGUAGUUGGUGGGAUAAAAGCUUACCAAGCCGACGAUCUGUAGCUGGUCUGAGAGGAUGAUCAGCCACACUGGGACUGAGACACGGCCCAGACUCCUACGGGAGGCAGCAGUGGGGAAUUUUGGACAAUGGGCGCAAGCCUGAUCCAGCCAUGCCGCGUGCAGGAUGAAGGCCUUCGGGUUGUAAACUGCUUUUGUACGGAACGAAAAGCCUUCUUUUAAUACAGGAGGGUCAUGACGGUACCGUAAGAAUAAGCACCGGCUAACUACGUG
rnacentral:rRNA from 1 species